rnacentral:rRNA from 1 species
UAUAAUGGGUCAGCGACUUAUAUUCUGUAGCAAGGUUAACCGUAUAGGGGAGCCGCAGGGAAACCGAGUCUUAACUGGGCGUUAAGUUGCAGGGUAUAGACCCGAAACCCGGUGAUCUAGCCAUGGGCAGGUUGAAGGUUGGGUAACACUAACUGGAGGACCGAACCGACUAAUGUUGAAAAAUUAGCGGAUGACUUGUGGCUGGGGGUGAAAGGCCAAUCAAACCGGGAGAUAGCUGGUUCUCCCCGAAAGCUAUUUAGGUAGCGCCUCGUGAACUCAUCUUCGGGGGUAGAGCACUGUUUCGGCUAGGGGGUCAUCCCGACUUACCAACCCGAUGCAAACUACGAAUACCGAAGAAUGUUAUCACGGGAGACACACGGCGGGUGCUAACGUCCGUCGUGAAGAGGGAAACAACCCAGACCGCCAGCUAAGGUCCCAAAGUCACAGUUAAGUGGGAAACGAUGUGGGAAGGCACAGACAGCCAGGAUGUUGGCUUAGAAGCAGCCAUCAUUUAAAGAAAGCGUAAUAGCUCACUGGUCGAGUCGGCCUGCGCGGAAGAUGUAACGGGGCUAAACUGUGCACCGAAGCUGCGGCAGCGACACUAUGUGUUGUUGGGUAGGGGAGCGUUCUGUAAGCCUGCGAAGGUGGCCUGUGAGGGUUGCUGGAGGUAUCAGAAGUGCGAAUGCUGACAUAAGUAACGAUAAUGCGGGUGAAAAGCCCGCACGCCGGAAGACCAAGGGUUCCUGUCCAACGUUAAUCGGGGCAGGGUGAGUCGACCCCUAAGGCGAGGCCGAAAGGCGUAGUCGAUGGGAAACAGGUUAAUAUUCCUGUACUUGGUGUUACUGCGAAGGGGGGACGGAGAAGGCUAUGUUAGCCGGGCGACGGUUGUCCCGGUUUAAGCAUGUAGGCGGAGGU